AUGCUCGGGGGUCCGGGAGGUCCCGGGGGCGACAAGCACGCGCACGACCGUGUCCGAGGGUCUCUCAACCACCGCUUGUCGUGGCGACCGUCGCCGAGGACUCGAUUUUAGGCCAACCACGGGCGGGAGCGCGCGGGAGACCAGUAUCCGCCCCCGCCCUCGUGAGCCGAGGGGAGUGGGGGCGACGAUGCGUGACACCCAGGCAGGCGUGCCCUCGACCAGGAGGCCUCGGGCGCAACUUGCGUUCAAAGACUCGAUGGUUCACGGGAUUCUGCAAUUCACACCAAGUAUCGCAUUUCGCUACGUUCUUCAUCGAUGCGAGAGCCGAGAUAUCCGUUGCCGAGAGUCGUUCAGAUUAUCACAAAAAGAAGGCGCGCCCCCGACACCGAGGCUACGAGGGCGUGCUCCUAGUACUCAAUUUCCUUGGCGCUUCUCGCGCCGGGGUUCGUUGGCGAGCCGUGUCGGGCGCAGAUGCGUCCCUCCACGGCACGCGUGGACACGAGGGGCGGGUGCCCCCCGAGCCCAGCUUGUCAUGCCACGGGUUCGCGGGU
rnacentral:misc_RNA from 1 species